AGGAAACAAGGAAUGCCCUAACGACAAACCAUAGGUGGUGGAGACACCACUGGCAGGCAAACUACUGGCAGGGUCUAGGGUUUGGGGUGAGGUCGGUUUAGUGGCGGCUGCAAUAACAGUAGGGUUGGGGGUGUGGAAGAACUUUCUAGUAUAAGUAAACCUGCAGCUAUUCUCUGAAGUCUCAGGCCAUUUCCUUAUAUCCCAUCCCUUGCACCAAGCCCCCUACUGUUCUUUGC
rnacentral:lncRNA from 1 species